rnacentral:misc_RNA from 1 species
CCGAAGAGAAGGAAUAUACACAGAUCCUCCGAUCGCAGAUGCCUCCUCUUCCCCGGCGAACCAAAGGACAGCGUAGCGUAUCGUAGCCGAUCGUCUCUCUCUCCCGGGCCCCGUCUCUUCGCUGUGGAAAGAGAACGACGACGUCGAGACGUCGUCGUCGUCGGGUGUGCGGCUUGGUUUCGUACGGUUGGGUUCGGAGCUGCAACAGCGGCAGCAGAGCAUCCAGAAGGCAGCAACGGCUUCGAGCGGCAGUUGUGUCGUGUAUGCGGAGGGAUUCUCGGCGGAGCGGCGAGUACACCGAUGUACGAGAAAACAUACCAACGAUUAUCGGAGGUGCCGCAGCAGAAAUCGGAUCGGAUAACACCGGGGGAUAACAACAGUUUCACGAAAAGGAGGGAGGAAUUUUUUAAACUCAAUCAGCGGAGGGUGAGGAGGAUGCGCGAGGAGAUAAUCGAGGUGGCGGAGACACCCCGUGGCGGCGUCGGGGCGACCAGAGGUUCUCAUUGAGCUGGCGUACCCUGCACUGGACCUCGGGGGCUGU